UAUUAGCAGUAGAGGCCAUUCUGGUCUCCCGUGGUGUGUUUUGGGAGGUUGUGCCUGUUAUGGAGGUGGGGCCUAGCUAGAAGAAAUGGAUUACUGUGGCAGAAGAAGGUUUGAGGUUUAUAAUUCAGCUCGGCUUCUUUGCUUUCUGUUCUGCUGAGCUUGGAGGAGUCCCAACCCUCUGUUCUUGCAGCCUUCACCAUGGAACUACCUGCUACCACAUCUUUGCUGCUUCGAUGGACUGGAUGCCCUGACAUGGCCCCAUCACUGGUCCAAUGCAAAGCCUGCAAAAACCGAGUGUGAGAGGGAUUCACAAGUCAUUCUCCACUUUGCCAUUAAAGAUGUCCUCACAGAGAAGGACAGAUCCGUUUGCGCACAGAAAGAGAACCACAAAUGGCACCGAAAUUCCUAGAAGCAAGGCUCGUCUUGCAUUUGUUGCUUUUGUUUGUUUUGUUUUAAAGUUGAGAGCAGAUGGCCUGGCUACAUCAGUAACAAAUGAAGUCAGAGCUGACUGGGAAAAAGAGCUGAGGAAGCCAAGAGGGAAAGGAGGCUGAGCUAAUAACCCCCACCCUACAUCUCUCUGGGGCACGAUUUCUGCAAAUAUAGUCUCCCUCCAGCCUGCACUGAGCCACCUGGAGAAGAGCAUGUAAAAAUAGAGCUUUCUGGACUGCAUCCCAGUGUGAACAUCUGGACUUCCAAUCUUGCUCCGCUUGCAUUUUGAACGGAGUCCUCACAUGUCUUAUGGAUAAACAUGACCUGUGGAAUAAGAGAGAAGCUUCCAGAAACCCAGGGAUGCUGGUUGUAUCUGCAAGCACCUGUGGAAACCACCCUUGCUCCAGAAUAUCUUUCAGAUCGCAGGCAAGCAUUUUCCCUAAUUUCCCCUUCUGGUUGUUCCCCACCUAC